UACGUAGGGGGCAAGCGUUGCUCGGAAUCACUGGGCGUAAAGCGCACGUAGGCGGAUUGCUAAGUCAGGGGUGAAAUCCUGGAGCUCAACUCCAGAACUGCCUUUGAUACUGAGAGCUUGAGUCCGGGAGAGGUGAGUGGAACUGCGAGUGUAGAGGUGAAAUUCGUAGAUAUUCGCAAGAACACCAGUGGCGAAGGGCGGCUCACUGGCCCGGUACUGACGCUGAGGUGCGAAAGCGUGGGGGAGCAAACAGG
rnacentral:rRNA from 1 species